rnacentral:misc_RNA from 1 species
CACCCUCAGGAGGUGACCCAAGUGUCGAUUGACCUCCCUUGAAAGUCCGGUGACCUAACUUGAAGAGAGUGGCCUCAACGCGCUACUUCUUUGUUUCUGUUCCUGUUCCUGUUCCAUGUGCCGGCGCGUGUUUGUGUGUGGUGUUUUCCGGCACAGUGAGAUAAUGAGUCUUAUUAAUCACUGUAUGUUAAAGAAUUGAUGGAGUAUUUAG